UCGAGAAUUUUUCUCAAUGGGGGCAACCCUGAAGGAGCGACGCCGCGUGGAGGAUGAAGGUCUUCGGAUCGUAAACUCCUGUCAUUUGGGAACAAAACCCUCACUUAACUGGUGAGGGCUUGAUAGUACUAGAAGAGGAAGAGACGGCUAACUCUGUGCCAGCAGCCGCGGUAAUACAGAGGUCUCAACCGUUGUUCGGAUUCAUUGGGCGUAAAGGGUGCGUAGGCGGUCGGGUAAGUCGGAUGUGAAAUCUCAGGGCUCAACCCUGAAACUGCAUUCGAUACUGCCUGGCUAGGGUACUGGAGAGGAGACUGGAAUUUACGGUGUAGCAGUGAAAUGCGUAGAUAUCGUAAGGAAGACCAGUGGCGAAGGCGAGUCUCUGGACAGUUACCGACGCUGAGGCACGAAGGCCAGGGGAGCAAACGG
rnacentral:rRNA from 1 species